AUUGAACGCUGGCGGCAGGCCUAACACAUGCAAGUCGAGCGGACGAAGGGAGCUUGCUCCUGGAUUCAGCGGCGGACGGGCGAGUAAUGCCUAGGAAUCUGCCUGGUAUUGGGGGAUAACGUCCGGAAACGGGCGCUAAUAUCGCAUACGUCCUGAUGGAGAAAGUGGGGGAUCUUCGGACCUCACGCUAUCUGAUGAGCCUAGGUCGGAUUAGCUAGUUGGUGGGGUAAAGGCCUACCAAGGCGACGAUCCGUAACUGGUCUGAGAGGAUGAUCGGUCACACUGGAACUGAGGCACGGUCCAGACUCCUACGGGAGGCAGCAGUGGGGAAUAUUGGACAAUGGGCGAAAGCCUGAUGCAGCCAUGCCGCGUGUGUGAAGAAGGUCUUCGGAUUGUAAAGCACUUUUAGUUGGGAGGAAGGACAGUAAGUUAAUACCUGGCUGUUUUGACGUUACCAACAGAAUAAGCACCGGCUAACUUCGUG
rnacentral:rRNA from 1 species